CCUACGGGAGGCAGCAGUGAGGAAUAUUGGUCAAUGGGCGGGAGCCUGAACCAGCCAAGCCGCGUGAGGGAAGAAGGUACAGCGUAUCGUAAACCUCUUUUGUCAGGGAACAAAGGCGGGGACUAGUCCCCGGAUGAGGGUACCUGAAGAAAAAGCAUCGGCUAACUCCGUGCCAGCAGCCGCGGUAAUACGGGGGAUGCGAGCGUUAGCCGGAUUUAUGGGGUUAAACGGGUGCGCAGGCGGCCUGUUAAGUCAGCGGUAAAAGCCCGGGGCGCAACCCCGGCGAGCCGUUGAAACUGGCGGGCUGGAGUUGGAGAGAGGUACGCGGAAUGCGCGGUGUAGCGGUGAAAUGCUUAGAUAUCGCGCAGAACCCCGAUUGCGAAGGCAGCGUACCGGCUGCACACUGACGCUGAGGCACGAAAGCGUGGGUAUCGAACAGGAUUAGAUACCCGAGUAGUC
rnacentral:rRNA from 1 species